rnacentral:tRNA from 11 species
UUUCCGUGGUGUAGUGGUCAUUACGUCUGUCUAACAUACAGAAGGUCUCCAUUUCGAACCUGGGAGGAAACA